rnacentral:rRNA from 1 species
GAUGAACGCUGGCGGCGUGCCUAAUACAUGCAAGUCGAACGCAGUGGGGACGGGUGAGUAACACGUGGGUAACCUCCCAUCAGAGGGGAUAACACUUGGAAACUGGUGCUAAACUGAUACUGUUGGAUGGACCCGGGGUGCAUUAGCGAGUUGGUGAGGUAACGGCCCACAAAGGCCACGAUGCAUAGCCGGCCUGAGAGGGUGAUCAGCCACACUGGAACUGAGACACGGCCCAGACUCCUACGGGAGGCAGCAGUAGGGAAGCUUCGGCAAUGGACGAAAGUCUGACCGAGCAACGCCGCGUGAGUGAAGAAGGUUUUCGGGUCGUAAAACACUGUUGUUAGAGAAGCGGUAUCUAGCCAGAAAGCCACGGCUAACUACGUGCCAGCAGCCGCGGUAAUUC